UCUUAUGUUUUCUUGAGCUUUCUUCAUCACAUUUGGGUUCCUUACGAGCUCGGUCAUUGCCAAUCUUAGUUAUGGCCCCUGUAUCUAUCCCCGCCAGAAAUAUAUCCUGAAAACAUUACAUAUUAAAAAAAAAUAUAAAGUCUGAACUAAAUUACUUGUUUUGUAGUUUUACAUGAGAUAUAUAUAUAUCAACACCAAGAUUUGUGGAUUUACCAUGAGCAUUGCCUUGAGAUUAUCCAUAUUGAGUUUGAAAGAGUCUGCAUUUCCAUGUUUAUCGAUCAUAUCCAACAUCAAGGAAACAAUAUCCGGAUUUUUCCUUCCUUCUUUCUUCAAGUGAUCAUCAAUCACAUGCUGG
rnacentral:lncRNA from 1 species